UACGUAGGGCGCAAGCGUUAUCCGGAAUUAUUGGGCGUAAAGAGCUCGUAGGCGGUUUGUCCCGUCUGCCGUGAAAGUCCGGGGCUCAACUCCGGAUCUGCGGUGGGUACGGGCAGACUAGAGUGAUGUAGGGGAGACUGGAAUUCCUGGUGUAGCGGUGAAAUGCGCAGAUAUCAGGAGGAACACCGAUGGCGAAGGCAGGUCUCUGGGCAUUAACUGACGCUGAGGAGCGAAAGCAUGGGGAGCGAACAGG
rnacentral:rRNA from 1 species